rnacentral:tmRNA from 1 species
GGGGCCGACUGGUAUUGACAGGAAAGAUUUCUUGUAAGUAAGCAUGCCGGAGAAUUGAUCAUACACUUCGUUCAAAUGAUGAUCACAAUUUAAUUGGCGACAAUAGAUUCGCAUUAGCUGCCUAAUUUAGAAUUAGCAUAGCUUUUUGCACCGUGUAAGAAGAUGUCCAAUAUUCUUACUUAUCGGUGUAUAAUGAGAGGGAUACUGCGGGUAUUCCACUUGGACUAGGAAGGUUAAGGCUUCGGUAACUUUCCGAAAAUUAAGAAGAUAAGCAGAUAACUGGUUGUUUGUACACCUGUUUGAAGUCGAAAAUUUAAGAACAAACUAAGCAUGUAGAAAGCCUACGAGCGCUUUGUCUGGACCCGAGUUCGACUCUCGGCGGCUCCACCU